rnacentral:tRNA from 1 species
UUAGGACAAACCAGUGAGCUCGCCUCACACGCGAGAGGUCACUGGUUCAAGUCCAGUACGGCCCA